rnacentral:rRNA from 1 species
CGACCGCUGGCGGCGCGCCUAACACAUGCACGUCGACCGGCGCUGAGAGAAGCUUGCUUUUCUUAGCUUAGUGGCGAACGGGUGAGUAACGCGUGAGUAACCUGCCCUGGAGUGGGGGACAACAGUUGGAAACGACUGCUAAUACCGCAUAAGCCCACGAUCCGGCAUCGGAUUGAGGGAAAAGGAUUUAUUCGCUUCAGGAUGGACUCGCGUCCAAUUAGCUAGUUGGUGAGGUAACGGCCCACCAAGGCGACGAUUGGUAGCCGGACUGAGAGGUUGAACGGCCACAUUGGGACUGAGACACGGCCCAGACUCCUACGGGAGGCAGCAGUGGGGGAUAUUGCACAAUGGGGGAAACCCUGAUGCAGCGACGCCGCGUGGAGGAAGAAGGCUUUCGGAUUGUAAACUCCUGUCGUUAGGGACGAUAAUGACGGUACCUAACAAGAAAGCACCGGCUAACUACGUG